rnacentral:tRNA from 1 species
CAGGGAGACAAAACUGAUCGUGAUGCCUAAGUAAAUCUUUCUUAGGUCAUGAUCCUGUCACCUUAGGUCGAUCGGUACCUCAGAUUAAGCAUAAAAAAAAGAGCUAACUAAAAAUUAGUCUCGCUAUUUUGUACUUGGUUUCAGUUCCUAAACUUGUCUAGGUCACACCCCGCAAGUGUUACUCCUGGGCCAUUAGCUCAGGUGGUUAGAGCGCACCCCUGAUAAGGGUGAGGUCCCUGGUUCAAGUCCAGGAUGGCCCAUUCGGUGUCGGGGGUAUAGCUCAGUUGGUAGAGCGCCUGCUUUGCAAGCAGGAUGUCAGCGGUUCGAGUCCGCUUACCUCCACUGAUCACACUCCUGAUGGCGAAAAUUGAGGAGUUAUCUUUGAUUGUUGUGAUUUAGAAUUUGUUUCACUGGAUUCAAAGAACCUAGCUUCCUUUCAUUCCAUUACUAAUUGUUUGAUUAGUUAAGGUUGACAGGACGCUGGGCUCACAUAAUUCAUUUUUUAAUGUUUUUUGUGAUUUCAGUAGAACCUUGACAACUGCAUAGGUGAGUCUGGAAAGAAUAAAGCAUCUCAUGGAUACAUUAUUCUUUUAUUUUAAUUCAAUUAUUACUUGAUAUUGACUUUCAAUAAAAGCUAAUGAUUUGUUCUUGAGCAAGAGCCAAGUCUCUAUAAAUUUUCUAAUGAAAUUUUAUAGAGGUUAUU